CCACUGAGCGAGACCAGGGAUAGAACCUGCACCCUUUUGGAUACUAGUCGGGUUUGUUACCACUGAGCCAUGAUAGGAACUCCUGUUUUUUUGUUUUAAAAUUUUAAAACCUCUGCAGUUGGACAAUGUAAGAGCAGUGAUUAUCUCUUUAACCAGCACAGUGGAGAAUCGACUCUUGCUCAAAGUAAGUGAUAGGGUGGGCAGAGUGAGUUUAAGUCACGUUUCCUUGGUGGCCUCCAUGACCUCAUCCAUGAAAUGGGUAAAACAAUUUCCCAUCUCCCAUUUCCUACCUCCUCCUGUGGUUGCAAAGAUGACAGGUCUCAGAAGGGGUAAUAAGUGGGAAGAUGUACACCCCACAAUGGCAGCAAUUAAUAUUAAUUUGAUUUAUUAGGAGAAACCAUAGAACGUGCCGACCAUUAACCCUGUGCAGUGGGUGCCCUCUGCUCUCAGCCUUGCACGGGAUUUCUGAAUCCUAAUUAUCUUCUGGCAGUGAUGGAGGAAACCAAGGGGUUAAGGAGGAGGCCUAGAGGCUGGCACAGCUGGGGACCAUUAGCUCCUAAGCGGGGGGUGGAGGCCAGGAAGGACCUCUGGGCAGCCGUGAGGAGGGGCGCUGAGAGUGUCUCCGAGGAAACUUAGGCUGAAAUUUUUGUUUUUCUUAAUUCUGAACUCAGUUUUAUACUCCAGAGGGGAGUUGUUCGUGUCUGAACUUGGUUUUUGAGCCCUGGCGCUGGUGGUUUUCGCAGUAAAUGGCUUGCCGCUCCUUGUGGGGCAAUAUUGCUAUUGAUGUUGGGCCAACGUGGUUAGGAAACGGGAUCUUCCAAAUGAGGACUCUGUGGUUUGACGACACUGAGCUGCAGUCUCCCCGGAGCAUGGUUGGGGGUUGAGACAGUUACCCGCAGGGUGGGGCUUGAGGGUAAAGUGGCAUUUCUCCUCUGCCAUUCCCCCCCACACACACCUUGGCAUUAUUAUUAUUAUUAUUAUUGCCCGGUGAGGCCUGUGCUCUGGCCUCAACUCCACCAAGAGAAGGGGCUGUAUUUGGAACAAUUGUGCCCAGAGGAGGCUCCUGAGAAGCAGGAGACCAGGGUGCCAGCGGGUCUCCGGAAAAUGAAAUGUGUCCUCUGACUGCCUGACUGUCUUCGCUGGCACAGGGCCCCGUUAUAAGGUCGUUAGUGCUGCCUGGGUUGGAGGAGCAGAGAGACAAGGCCCAGGCACCCACCAUCUGCUUCAGGAAGCUUUCCAUGACUGCCAGGCAGUCACAGGUGCCCCUGCCCUGUCCUCCCUCAGCCCCUGUCCUCCCCUCCCCGCAGCACUGGUCACACGGUAGUGGAAUUGUCACACCAUAUCAUAAUGAUUCAUGUGGCUGGCUGUGCCCCCACUGCCUUGGUCACGAGCAGCUGCUCCAAUCCCUCUGGAGUGACGGAUGGCAUUUGAAGAGAAGGAGGAAACUUGAAGAUACCACCAAGAAUGAGCUGAAGAGGUUUUCGCCCAGGGAAUCGCCCGCUCAGCAUCUUUGUCCUGAUGGAAAAGCUCUCACAAAAGAGUGGCAGCCCUGUCAGAAAGACGAAGUCCAGAGUCAUUCUCAAGAGAAAGGAGCGACAGGAAUGGGCUGGUGGCUGGAAGCCAGGUGCCUAAUGCUUUAGCGCACAGAAGGAGGGACAGCUGGGACUAGCAUGAAAAACGGUCUGCGCGCCACCAAAGCACUGUUCACACUGGCCAAGAGGGCAGAAGCCCCCGACGUGUCCAUCACAGAUGAAAGAAUAGACAAAAGGUGGCGUAUACAGACAAUACAAAUUUAACCUUAAAAAGGAAGGAAAUCUCAUCACAUACACAACAGGAAUGAGCCUGGAGGACCUUAUGCUAAGUGAAAUCAGCCCAUCACAAAAAGACAAAACACGGAUGCUCUGUCUUCCAGAGGAUCAGAUCCAGAUGUGACCCAGCUACCAAUCUCUGGACAGGUUCUGGAACGUGCAUGGAAUUUGGAGUGUCCUGGAUACCCAGAGCAUGGGGGUGGUAGCCAGUUCUCCUUGGCUCUUGGAAUCCAAGCCUUUUAAAGGGCUGGCUGGAAAGCUGCAGACGGGUGGUGAUGUCCACUCCCUCCCUCGGUGCCUGGUGCUGACUCUACUUAGCCUCUGUCUUAGUCUGUUUAAGCUGCUGUAACAAAAGUAUCACAGACUAGGUGACUUAUAGACAACAGAAAUUUGUUUCACAUAGUUUUGGAGGCCAGGAAGUCCAAGAUCAAGGUGCUGGCAGAUUCACUGUCUGUAAGAUCCUGGAGGAUGUGAACUAUGUUUUCUUCAUCCCCUGCCUGUCUCACUCCAUCAGCAAGUGGUGCUGUUGCCUGCUGUGCCCAAGUUAAUGAAUAACUCCAUCAAGGAGUGAAGGAAUGAAUCCUCCAUCAAGGAAUGAAUGCUAUUGCAGCAACAUGGACACAACUAGAGAUUCUCAUGAAGGAAUGAAUCCUCCAUUUAACCAGGAAUGCGUCCUCCGCUUUUCAGAGAUUCCUCUUCUUUCCUAACCCAGUUGCCUUGGGAACUAGGGGAACUGACUUCCCCUCCUUUCCAAGUGAGAGAGGUCUGGAGUCAGUCUCAUGAGUAACCGGAGGCUCCCCCGGACACCUGCUCUUUCACAUAACAAGCUCUCCCAGAAAAACCAGUCCAGACAGCAACUCCUAGCUAAACACAUCUCUCUAGAAAGCCCCAUGAGGAGGGUGCUAGUUUCCUAUGUAAUCUCCUCCUUCUCUUUUAGCAGCAGAGACACAGUGUUUUUCCAGGUGGCGUGUAUCUGGUAAAAAUCUAUGAUGCCCUGCCUCUCUUGGAGAAGAUGAAGGCAGAAAUUGUUGGAUAGAAUUUCUGGAUAAGAUUUUUUGCCUUUUCAUCCUACCUGCCUUCUGCUGUUUGGAAUGGCUGGAGCUGCAAUAGCCAGAUUAAGGCCAGACAUACACACAAAAAGACUAAAAGAAUCACAGAGAUUCAGCCCUGAUUUUCUUAAAAAAAAAAUUUUUUAUUAUUAUAGUUGAUGUACAAUGUGCUGUCCACUUCUGCUCACAAUGACCCAACCAUAUACAUAUA